UACGUAGGGAGCAAGCGUUAUCCGGAUUUAUUGGGUGUAAAGGGUGCGUAGACGGGAUUACAAGUUGGUUGUGAAACCCCUCAGCUCAACUGAGGAACUGCAACCAAAACUAUAAUUCUUGAGUGCAGGAGAGGAAAGUGGAAUUCCUAGUGUAGCGGUGAAAUGCGUAGAUAUUAGGAAGAACACCGGUGGCGAAGGCGACUUUCUGGACUGUAACUGACGUUGAGGCUCGAAAGCGUGGGGAGCAAACAGG
rnacentral:rRNA from 1 species